AAAUAAAUAGUUCAUUGAACAUACAAUUGAAGAUUGUAAAGUCUUACUUACUGAAAAUAAGUAUAUGAAUACAUUUUAAUUU
rnacentral:tRNA from 1 species